rnacentral:rRNA from 1 species
UACGUAGGGUGCAAGCGUUAAUCGGAAUUACUGGGCGUAAAGCGUGCGCAGGCGGCUUUGCAAGACAGAUGUGAAAUCCCCGGGCUCAACCUGGGAACUGCAUUUGUGACUGCAAGGCUGGAGUACGGUAGAGGGGGAUGGAAUUCCGCGUGUAGCAGUGAAAUGCGUAGAUAUGCGGAGGAACACCGAUGGCGAAGGCAAUCCCCUGGACCUGUACUGACGCUGAGGAGCGAAAGUGUGGGGAGCGAACAGG